AUUGAAACACCCAUUCUCAUAUGAUCACCAAAGUUAAGCAACAUCAAGUCUGGUCAGUACCUAGAUGGGUGACCGCUUGGAAUACCAGGUGGUGUA